rnacentral:lncRNA from 1 species
UUUUUUUUUCCUUCCAGAUGAAAAAAUAUUUUUUAAUAGCCAAUAAAUUAGAAAGGAAAAAAAAGCUUGUUAGACAUAUUUUGUUUCUUUUUUACUACAUUCAAUAAUUUGUUUAUUACAUCAUAUAAUCAAUUCAAAAUUAUCAAGGAAAAAAAAUUACUGAUUGUUUGGAACAGUAUUAAUAUAAUUAAUUGUAGAGGUUAAAAAAACUAUUAAGCAAUUAAAAUAAUUUAAAGUUUUUGGUUAAAUACUUAUUGCAUCUAAUAUUUGAAACAUUUUAGGGGUGAGGGGAAGGGCAAAGCAUGUUUAUGUAGGGUGGGUUGAAACCAAUAAAUGAUGCUAUGUGGGGUGGGGCGGAGUGGGUUAUAAUUUUAGCGGGUUUAUGCGGGUUUGCCCGCAAUCACCCCACCCCAUUGCCCUCCCUAAUUUAGAUUAAACUGAAAAAUAAAAUUAAUUUUUAAUUUGGAUUGGUUUUUUAGUUUUUUGGUUUGGUUUUGGAUUAAUAAUUUAGUUUUUUGAUUUGGUUUUAGAUUUAGAAAAAUAUAAACCGAAGACUCGAAAAAAAUGAAUCAUAUAUAUAUACCACCUUCGUUCCUUUUAGUUAUUGUCUUUCAUUAUGAUUUAGUUUAGAUUUUAUGUUUGGAUAUCUAUAAUUAGUAUAAUUUUAAUUAUUAUGUUUUACGUUUUACUUGUGCUUUAUAUUAAAAAUCUAAACCGAAUAGUAUAAAACUAAACCAAAAAUUAGUCACUUUAUAUUAAAGGCGAAAAAAAUCAUCUAGAGUUAUAAAUUAUCCAAAAGUUUAGGUUAUUGUUUGAUUGUUAAUGUCAAAUUUCAAUAUGUAUAUUAAAAGUUUGAUCUACCUAUAUUUAUUGGUGCUGAUAUAUUCAAAUUCUUUUAAUAACAUUUUAUUUAAGUUUUUUUUUUUAAUUUGAAACGUAAUAUGAUAUUUUAAUUUUGGGAUAAGGGUCUAAAAAAUACCCAACUUUGGUCAAAUUUGUUGUUGCGAUACUAAAUUUUCAUGAGGACCUAUUACCUCCCUAGACUAUUUAAUACCGUAUUUUAAAUAUAUAUAUUUGCCACGUGGACAUAAAAAAUAAUGCAAAAUUAUAAAUAGUAAUGUGUCCACGUGGGCACAUAUAUACCUUUAAAAUACACUAUUAAAUAGUUUAGGGGUAAAAAAUACACUAUUAAAUAGUCUAGAGAGGCAAUAGGUUCUCAUGAAAGUUUAGUAUCGCAACAGCAAAUUCGACCAAAGUUGGGGUAUUUUUCAGACCCUUAUCCCUUUAAUUUUCUUCAUUAAAUCAGGUAUGGAUGAGUUGCUUAAAUAAUUUAUUUGACAAUAUCGAUAGAGUUAAUAUACAUCAAAUUGAUGUAUUAUAUAUUUAAAUCACCAAUUUCAAUAUAUAUAUAUAUAUUAUUGUAUAUUUAAAGUUUGAACUACCUAUAUUUAUUGAUGCUGAUAUAUUCAAAUUCUUUUAACAACAUUUUAUUUAAGCUUUUUUUAUUUGAAACGUACUAUGAUAUUUAAUUUACUUCAUGAAAUCUGGUAUAUAUGAGGUGCUGAAAUAAUUUAUUUGACAAUAUCGAUAGAGUUAAUAUACAUCAAAUUGAUGUAUUAUAUAUUUAAAUCACCAAUUUCAAUUUUUAUUUAUAUAUAAAUAUAUAUAUAUAUAUAUAUAUAUUUAUUUAUUUAUUUAUUUGAAUCAUACUAUUUUAUAGUAACAAAAUAAGAAGGAAAAGAAAAAGAAUGAAUAAUAUUCUUAUUUAAAAUUAGGAAAAUGGUCUGAAAUAUAUCCGAACUUUGAUCGAAAUUGCAGUAACGAUACCAAACUUUGGAAAUGACCUUUUAUCCCCCUACACUAUUUAAUAGUGUAUUUUAAAGGUAUAUAUAUGUCCACGUGGACAUCAUAAAUAUUGCAUAAUUAUAAAUAAUAACGUGUCCACGUGGGCACAUAUAUCUUUUAAAUACACUAUUAAAUAGUGCAGGGGGUAAAAGGUCAUCCAUAAAGUUUGGUAUCGUAACAGUAAUUUCGAUCAUAGUUGAAGUAUUUUUCAGACCCUUUUUCCUUUAAAAUUUAUCUAAUUAAUUCAUUUACAAGUUACCACUUUUGAAUAUAUAUAUAUAAACAAUUAAAUAGAUUGCGCAUGAAAUGCUCAUUUUUUUCUUUAAGAGGAAUGGAUCUAAUUAAUCUAAUUUUGCACUACAAAAAUUUAUUUUGUAUUACGACAUUUGUAACUUUUAUGGACUUUGUAUCACAAAGUUUUGAGUCACAAUAUUUGGAUUCCGUUUGAAGUUUUAUAUUUCAAGUGAUUUUAAGCUAAAUUAAUUUUUUAACAUUUUUUAAGUGUUUGAAUAAGCUAAAAAUAUUGUUAUAAACACUUAGUUUUAAGCUAAAAUGUUAAAAAUAAGUAAAAAAUAAUUAUAAAUUAGAAUUUCUAACUUAUGACUUUUAGCUUAUAAAUUAAAAUGAAAAGUUAAUUCAAAUAAACUCUAAUAUCCAUUGUUAUUCAAUUGAAAACUUCUGUUUCCUAGUUAACCACUUCAUUACCUAUCAGAAAAAAUGUGUUGGUACUUUAGUGUGUGCUUCUACAAAAAUCUACAUAUAAUGCGUCAACUAACAUAUUUUGAGAGACAAAAACAUAAAUCGUUAUAGAAUUUGCACUAUUUUUCUCUUAAAUUAUGUAUAAUUCUUUUUUAGAGAAAUCAUAAUCGCUAACAACAGUAAUAUCUAGUAUAAUCUCAUUUAUGAGAUAUAUGAAAGUAGUAUGUAUGAAAUACUAUUCCUACCUUGUGAGGAUAGAAAAAUUACUUUUGAAAAAAUAUGAGAAAAAUACAAUCAUAAAGAAAUCAUUGAAAAUAAGUUCAUACAAGGAAAAGUUUAAAAAUACAUUCUCAUGCUAUUAGUAUUUGCAUCAAAAUAAUGAAGAACAUAUUGCAUACAUGAUGUGUAUCUUUGAUAUACACUUACAAGUUUUAUUACUUGAUUAUAUUUGAUUAAUAUGUAUUUUAACUUAAAUUUAUUAUUCAACUGUAAUAAACUUAUAUUAUUGUUAAGAUGUCGAAUUUUAAUUGGUAACGAGUUUUAAUUUUUUUUUGUUCAUAUGAUUAGAUCAACCUUUUUUGACCGUUGAUAACCUUCUUCCACAUAUAUAAAUUUGUUUAUAUGUGUGUUAAAAUUUAUGUAAAUCAAUAUUUAUAUGUUGAUUCUCAUUUGUUAUGGAAUUGAAUAAAUAUGUUUUUGAUCCGUUAGUAAGGCUCUUUACUAAAGAAAAUAGGAUCUUCGAUCGGAGUAUUGGGAAGUUACGAUUGCAAAGGGGAUGAAUUAAAGACGACUUCUCUCACGAGGUACGGUAUGGAGCUAAUCCAGAUGCUCCGCCAGCCAUUCCUCAUACUAAACAGAUUAAGGCGAUGUGGAUCUAGCCUUGCGAUUGAGACUGUCGAGCCUAACAACCCUCUUCUAUUUUUCUUAGAGGGAUUUCUCACUCUUGAUUAUGAAAAUUACUUCAGCUUUAAAAAUCUAAAUAGUGUUUUAAAAAACUCUGUUGGGACUCGCCUCGGGGAUCGCCCUGGGGCGGGACUCUAGCAAAACUCCCCGAGACUCAAGUGUGGGGCUUAGUUCUAUAAGACUUACGCCCUAAGCGCUCGACUGUACGCCCUAAGCACGCCCAACGCUCUGGGCUCGCCUAUCAGAUCUUAGACAAAUUAUGAGUUAAAAUAUUUAGUUAACAUUGUUGACCAUCAUUAUUCCUGAAUAAAUGAAUGAUACUUCAUAUUUUUUUAAUCUAUAGAGAUAAGAUAAUUGAGAGCAGUGUUUUCAAAAAUAUUUUUGGAGCGAGUCUCGGGGUCGGGCGUACUAAAAAUGCUCCGGGGUGUAAAUUAAAGACAUAGAUCCAUAAGGUGUAGGUUCUAAAAUUUGAGGUGUAAGCCUCGAGCGUAAAAAUGUAAGUCCUGCUGGGAGUAAUAACAUAGGUCCAGGCAUUUUUAAUUUAUUUUUUAAACCUUUUUUGCUUUAAAUCAUAUUUUUUUUAUUAUUGGUGUAAUGAUAUUUCUCAAAUAGUAAUUAUAAUAUUUUUUUUGCUUCAUUAUUGAUUAUUAAUACUUAUCUCAAAUAAAAAUCAUAAUAUAAUUUCUAUAUAUUAUAGGUUAUUUAUAAAAUUUAGGGAUAAUGGUCUGAAAAAUAACUCAACUUUGGUCGGAUUUGCUGUUGCGAUACUAAACUUUCAUGAGGACCUAUUACCUCCCUAGAUUAUUUAAUACCGUAUUUUAAACAUAUAUAUUUGCCCACAUGGACAUAAAAAAUAAUGCAAAAUUAUAAAUAGUAAUGUGUCCACGUUGACACAUAUAUACCUUUAAAAUACACUAUUAAAUAGUUNNNNNNNNNNNNNNNNNNNNNNNNNNNNNNNNNNNNNNNNNNNNNNNNNNNNNNNNNNNNNNNNNNNNNNNNNNNNNNNNNNNNNNNNNNNNNNNNNNNNNNNNNNNNNNNNNNNNNNNNNNNNNNNNNNNNNNNNNNNNNNNNNNNNNNNNNNNNNNNNNNNNNNNNNNNNNNNNNNNNNNNNNNNNNNNNNNNNNNNNNNNNNNNNNNNNNNNNNNNNNNNNNNNNNNNNNNNNNNNNNNNNNNNNNNNNNNNNNNNNNNNNNNNNNNNNNNNNNNNNNNNNNNNNNNNNNNNNNNNNNNNNNNNNNNNNNNNNNNNNNNNNNNNNNNNNNNNNNNNNNNNNNNNNNNNNNNNNNNNNNNNNNNNNNNNNNNNNNNNNNNNNNNNNNNNNNNNNNNNNNNNNNNNNNNNNNNNNNNNNNNNNNNNNNNNNNNNNNNNNNNNNNNNNNNNNNNNNNNNNNNNNNNNNNNNNNNNNNNNNNNNNNNNNNNNNNNNNNNNNNNNNNNNNNNNNNNNNNNNNNNNNNNNNNNNNNNNNNNNNNNNNNNNNNNNNNAUGAAAGUUUAGUAUCGCAACAGCAAAUCCGACCAAAGUUGAGGUAUUUUUCAAACCCUUAUCCCUAAAAUUUAUUUGUAAAAUCAUUGAAAGGUUUACUUUUGCUUAUUUUAUUAGUAAUAAAACUAUAAAAUUGAAUAUACAUGAGACUACGCCCCGUAAAUCUAUGGGACUUACGCCUCGUUUCUCGAGACUUACGUCUCUCCCCGUACUAUAUAAAACGCCUCGCCUUAUGCCCCCGCAUUUUAAAACACUAGAUCCAAUUUUAUCUUCACUUAUAAAUAAUAAAAUAAAAUAGUAAUUCACACUUACAAAACAUUAUUGUACUAUGAAAAUCUCCAAAGAUAUUGCAUGUUUGCAUUAUUCAUCAUAUCUUUUGUCUGUUAGGCGUUAAAUACUGAUCAAUCUAAUAUAUUUGUUUGUUCAUAAUGGUCUCAACUCCAUACGAUUUUAUAACUAGGCGUAUUGAAAAAAACAAUUUGAAACUCUCCCAUUGUGAGGUAAACUAAUAACUAAUACUAGCUAUAUCACUUUUUUGUAGUCUUUGCAAUAUCAAUUCUUUAUGAAUUUAUUUACUUUUGUAUGAUCGUCACAAUGUUAUGUUUUUAUUAUUUUCAGUUCCUUGUACAAAUAAAAAUCAAAGAUAGUAUUUUGUUUCAACUAUAUUAGUAUAUUAAAUAUCUAAUUCCAUACAUUUUUGAUGAUUUGAACAUACAAUUUCAAAAUUGAAGAUAAACAAUUCUUAAUUUCUUAUUACAUCAUUCGAAUAAUUUAUUAUUAUUUUUAAAUAGAGAUUUGAAACUCAAAGCUCCUUUUAUUUUCCAACUAACUAAUUAUAUACAUAAUCUGGCCCAAUAAAAAAUUCGAUCCAUUAGAAAAUAUAUAUAUAGAAGUCUGAAGUUGUUGAGCAACAAUGUUUGUCAAAAAAUAUCAUCAGAAAAAUAUGAAGAGACGUCAGUGAUCAUUGCUAUCUUCAGUUAAUCCGACUCCUCCACAGAGCUCUUCUACUUCAUAUAAACAAAGAAUCUCACAUAAACACUUUGUAGUUAAUCCAUGAGAUGACACUAUUUCAACUUCAUCCUUCAAGUUAAGUAUUUUAUUAGUUAUUAUUAAUUGAUUAUGUAAAGAAUAUAUUAAGUUAUUGAGAUGAUCAAGCUACAUCCUUAGUAUAAAAGUUACUCACCCUUGAUACACGUAACUUCAAUUAUUCUCAAGUCAUUUUUGUGCUUCUUUUUUAAUCAAUUGAAUCCUAUAUUAUUUGGAUAUGCAAAAUAAGUAUUACUAAUCAUCUUGCUGUUUUGGUAGCUCCUUCAGAAAAGACUAAUCCCAUUUUGCGUGUUGAUAAGAAUGGAGUAGUAGUUACUAGAUUUAUUUCUUUAUCUACUUGUACUAAACUAGCAACCUUAGUGUGAUGGAUAACAUAAAUAUUAUUAGAGAUGCUAGCAAUAUAUGUAGUUACUACCACUGAUGCUUCUAACAUUAUUGCUGUUAGAAAUGCUAAUGUAGAACUAUUUCAAUUCAUCUUAUAAUUAUAAUAUCCUAAAGUUAUCUAAUAAUACUAUUCCUAUUUACAAAAAAAAUUGAAUGUGUCAAAAUAAGCUAAGUCGAUAAAUAAGUGAGUCAUUGAUUCACCCUCAAGUUACUUGGAUGAAAUAAAUUAAAUUGAACUGGACUAAAAAUUACAACAUAAUCCAAUCUACUAAAUUUCUUACUAAAUUUUCAAUUCUUUCCUUUUUUUCCUCACCCAAUAAAUUUUCAUCCCUCUUAUAUUACGACUUUAUAUAACAUUUCAAAUAUUUUUUAAAUUCAUUUUAUAACAUAUGGAAUAAAAUAAAUUACAAAUUAAAUUGAACUGGACUAAAAACUACAACAUAAUUCAAUCUACAAAUUUCUUACUAGAUUUUCAAUUCUUUCCUUUUUUCUCACCUAAUAAAUUUCUAUCCGUCUUAUAUUAUGACUUUAUAUAUCAUUUCAAUUAUUUUUUAAAUUCUUUUUAUAACAUAUAAAAUAAAAAAAUAUUAAAACAAAUGAUUAAUAAUUACUACUCCAAAAAAAAAAAAAUCCUAAAAAUUGCCACCCCAGCAUUUUGUCCUUUUUUCCCCCACUAAAGUCGAUUUUCUCCCCAAAAAGCUCCAAAGCUCACUAAACAGUACAUCGCCUUCCCACCUACCUACCCCCGUAAAUCUUCAACCUCUAUUUACCCCCUACCCCCGCCCCGAGAGUGACACUAUCCAUACGUAACUACCUAUACAUAUAUAUAAUUUAUACACUCUAUUCAUCUCCGAUCGAUUUUUUUCCGAUUCCGACGUUGCUUUCUUCGCCGGUAAGUUUCUCUAUCUGCUGUGUAUUGAUACGAGUAUAGUUAGAUAUUUAAUCUACGCAAUUGCUAGAUUUUGUAUAUGGAUAUGAAAUAGGUUUGUAUAUGCCUUCGAUUAAAUCGACGUAGGAGAAAUUAUUGAUGGGGCAUAAGAAGCGAACUGUCGCUCCUCGCUCCAAACCCUCAAGUUCACCGGCGGCGGUCUCAGAAGAUGGGUCACCGCCGUCGAUUGAUGCUGACCUAAAGCUAGUUUCAACGAUUCCUUCAAUUACGAAUGGAUCUUUGAGUAGAAACGAUGCCCUAGCUGUAAAUGAUUAUGAGAACAAUAGUUCAUCGUCUUCGGCUUCUUAUGCUUCAAUUAAGCUUGAAUGUGAGCGUGCCUUAACGUCCUUGCGACGUGGGAACCAUACUAAAGCACUGAGGUUGAUGAAGGACUUGUCUACUAAGCAUGGAAAUUCGCCUCAUUCGGCACUGAUUCACCGGGUCCAGGGCACAGUUUGUGUGAAGGUGGCUUCUAUUAUUGAUGAUCCUAAUACGAAGCAGAGGCAUUUGAGGAAUGCAAUUGAGAGUGCUAGGAAAGCAGUGUCACUGUCUCCGUACUCAGUUGAGUUUUCACAUUUUUAUGCUAAUUUGUUGUAUGAAGCAGCAAAUGACGGGAAGGAGUAUGAGGAAGUUGUGCAGGAGUGUGAUAGAGCAUUGGCAAUUGAAAACCCCAUUGAUCCUGCAAAAGAGAGCUUACAAGAGGAGAGUCAACAGAAGAUAUCCUCACCUGAAGCUCGAAUAUCUCAUAUACAUGGUGAGCUUCAUAACUUGAUUCAGAAGUCGAAUUUUGCUUCCAUUUCUACUUGGAUGAAGAAUAUAGGUACUGGGGAGGAGAAAUUCAGGUUAAUUCCAAUUAGGAGGGUGUCUGAGGACCCAAUGGAGUUGAGAUUGGUUCAGGGAAGAAGGCCAAAUGAAAUUAAGAAGGCGACUAAGACACCUGAAGAGAGGAGAAAAGAGAUUGAGGUUCGGGUAGCUGCUGCUAGGCUGUUGCAGCAGAAGUCAGAAACUGUCAAAUCACAGAAUGAUGGAGAUAAAGGUUUUGAUUCAACUGCAGGAUCGGGUCAGAGAGCAGGUGAUAGGCGGAGGAGUGGAAAUGCAAAGAAGAAUGCUUCUUCCACGGAGAGAAGGAAGUGGGUGCAGUCAUAUUGGAAUUCCAUAAGUUUGGAUGUGAAGAAAGAAUUGCUUAGAAUUAGAAUUUCAGAUCUUAAGACACAUUUUACUGUUUCUAAGGAUCAUUUGGCUAUUGAAGUACUUUCUGAUGCUCUUCCAUUUGCCGAGACCCAUAAAACAUGGGAGUUCUGGAGAUGUUGCCGGUGCAAUGAAAAUUUUUCUGAUUCUCAAUCACACGUUCAUCAUGUUGUGCAUGAUCACAUGGGAGCUUUGCUGCCUAAAAUGCAGUCAGUUUUGCCUCAAAAUGUUGAGAAUGAGUGGGCUGAGAUGCUUCUGAACUGUUCUUGGAAACCAUUAGAUAUUAAUGCGGCAGUGAAAAUGCUUGAUAAGCAAUCAAGAUAUCAAGGCCAUGGUUUUCUAGAUGAGACCUAUGGAAGAGAUGAUGGGGAGGGACCUAAGGAUGGGUAUUUGGAAGCUUUCCGCCAUGAAGACGAAUGGGACUCGUCCCCUAGAAGGAAGCAAGUAGGGGAUCGACUCAAUGUAAAUAUGGUUGAGAGCAGAAAAAAUGAUAAGAUCUCAGAUAUUGACUAUAUGGAUUGUGAUGAAGAUGGUGGUUCAAAGAUUUGUUUACUUCCUGAAGACUUGCCACUGUCUGAUGACCCUGAGCGAGCAAAGCUUCUUGAAAGAAUCCGUGCUGUGUUUGAGGCUCUUAUUAAAAAUAAAUAUCUUGCUUCAACUCACCUCAGCAAGGUUAUGCAUUAUGUGGUGGAAGAACUUCAGGGUCUUCCUUUUGGCUCUCAACUUCUUAACUACAAUAUUGAUCAAAGCCCUCUGUGCAUAUGCUUUUUGGGUCCCGAAGAACUGAAAAAGGUAUUAAAGUACUUGCAAGAACUUUCUCAUUCUUGUGGCUUAGGGAGGUACCCUGAGAAAAUUGGUGCUGUGGAUGAAACAAGCAAUGGAUGUCAUGGAAUUGACAAUCUAGAGAAAAUAGUUUUCAGUGAGGACAGCUCAUGUUUGCUGUUUGAUCAGCAUUUCCUGGAGCGCAAUCUUUCUCCCAGCUCAUAUCCUGAUGCAGUUUCUAAUGACAGAAAUACAGCAAUUUUGUCUGGUAACCAGUAUCAAGAUGGUGUUUUAGUUGACCCAGAUGCAUUACUGUCCUGGUUAUUCACUGGUCCAUCAAGUGUUGCAGCUUUGGCAUCAUGGACACGUGCAAGAGAAGAAAAAGGUCAACAAGGUAUGGAAAUUCUCCGAUUGCUUGAGAAGGAGUAUUACGACCUCCAGGGUUUGUGUGAGAGAAAAUGUGAGCACCUAAGCUACGAGGAAGCACUGCAGGCAGUAGAAGAUCUUUGCUUAGAAGAGGGUAAAAAAAGAGAAAAUGAAACAGAAUUUGUCCGACAAAGCUACGAUUCUGUCUUGAGAAAGCGACGAGAAGAACUCAUAGAUAGUGACAACGACACUACAAUUAUCAGCAAUAGGCCUGAGUUGGAUGCUAUAUCAAAUGUUCUUAAGGAAGCAGAAUCUCUCAAUGUAAAUCAAUUCGGAUUUGACGAAACUUACGGUGGUGGAACGUCUCAAUUUUGUGACUUGGAGUCUGGUGAAGAGGAUGAUUGGAGACUGAAGGACUACCUUCAUCAGGUGGACUCUAGUGUGGAAGUUGCAAUACAGAGACAGAAGGAACAUAUCUCCAUUGAGGUUGGUGGAUCAGUUAUAGUCCAAUGUUCUUUUUCUUUUUGGUUUUUCUGCAUUGUUUGAUUGUCGUUUGAUCUUACAAUUUCAUGGAUGCAGCUUAGCAAAAUUGAUGCACGAAUCAUGCGGGUGGUUACCGGGAUGCAGCAGUUGGAGUCAAAGCUUGAGCCGGCUUCUGCCCAAGAUUACCGGCGAAUUUUAGUGCCUCUAUUGAAAUCAUUUCUGCGGGUAACUGCUGUUGUGAUGUACCUAUGUUGCUAUUAUAAUCUUUUACUGCUGUUUGUGCUCCUAUCUUCUUGUAGUUUCGCCUUUCUCAUAUUUUGUUUGAUUAGGAUGAUUGUUUUUUUUUAUUCUUAGGCACACUUGGAAGACCUGGCCGAGAAGGACGCUACAGAAAAAUCUGAUGCUACAAGGGAAGCUUUUCUGGCUGAACUUGCACGUGAUUCCGAAAAGAGUUCAAGUGGGGGAAAUGAGAAGUCUAAGCAUGGCCAUGAAAAGACAAAGGACAAGAAAAAGAAACAAGAGUAUCGAAAAGCAAAAGAUUCGAAGGUUUGAGCUGUGGGUCAGAUUAUUGUUUCUGAAGCAGUUGUUUAUGUGUAUUGCUGGGUGAAGGUAUAACCUGUUUCCUCUUACCUGUGCAGCCUAACAGUGGUAACGAAUUGCAUGUGCUUCACCAUGAGACUGUGGAUCAUGUGUAUGUCUCUUCCUAGUUCCUAACAACAUAUUUCUCCAUUUACAUACCCUCUAGUUAGGCAUCUUAGCAAACCAUUUACGGCCUUUAAUAUUUUCAAGUGUAUGUUUUGGUGCAGCUCAUCUCCACUUGCUCAUGAUGGAGAUGAUCAAGAGAGUGAAAUUCCUCAAACUGGUAAUUCCUUAGAUCUACAGGAAGAGGAGUACAAACGUAUGAUUGAGCUUGAAGCCGAGGAAAGGAAGCUUGAAGAAACUUUAGAGUAUCAAAGAAGAAUUGAGAAUGAGGCUAAGCUGAAACAUCUGGCUGAGCAACAUAAGAGAACUGCAAGAACAAUUCCAGAGAAUAUGGAUGCAGCUACAAAUCCCGAGUCUUACCCGUAUCAAAAAAUGAAUCCUGACACUUACUUGAAGAGUUGUGAUAUUGAUCAGAAAAUCAAUGAGCAAUGGAAUUGUAGUGAGCAGGUUACACUCUGAUUGGCUUUUUACUGUUAGAGAAUUUUACAUUCUGGAUUUCUUAUAUCGCUAAAAGUUAAAACUAAUGCCUCGAAAUGCCUUGGUGUUAUUAUCGAGGAUGCUGCUAAAAUUUAGUUGGCCCUAUGAAGUGAUUGUAACAUGUGACUUUCCUUGAUGCAGAACAAUGUACUAUUGAACAGUGUAGAAGGUCUUUCAAAGAACUUUCCAGAAAGAAUGGCACAAAGAGAUGGUAUUACCUUGAUUUGUAACUGGAAUAAUUUAUGCUUCCCAAAUAAUCUGUACCAAAUGUUCCAGGGUUAGGAUGAUGUCAUCUGAACAUGCUAUCAUUUUUUCUCUUAUUCAGGAUUGUCAAACAAAGGAACUCCAGAGGAUGGUAUAUUGAUGUCUGAUAAGCGAUCUGGAAGAAAAGGCAGGCGCCAGAAAGAUUCGUCUAAAUUUAGUGAGGUGAAUUAUCAAUCUGGUUCUUCUGAAAGGGAAAAUACUGAAGUUAGUGAAUCAAAAGCUCUGGAUUCUUCACAUGGUGAGCUGCAGUUGUUUGCUUAACUUUUAUAUAUAUUUGGCUGCUUCUGCUUUUCUGAAUGAUGACUUCUCUUUGCUUCUCCAACUUGAUUGGGUGGUUGAUGCUUUUGCAUUUUAUGCUAGUUGGUCUUAUUUUUACUUGUAAAGGAAAGUUGGCAGUGUCAGAAAUCACAGGGCAUUUCCUGGUUUUAGUAAAAAAUGAACAGUUUCAUGGUGGAUGACUGUGAUGUAACCCAUGAUUAACUGUUCUUAGAAAGUGUUUGUUUUAUAGUUCAAAUUCGUUCUUGCUUCUUUAUCAUUUGGUGUUCAGUAGUUUGCUAAAUAUGCAAGGUGAACGUGGGAUCAAUGUCAGUGCCUAACGUUGGAAAAAGCUCCGGGUUUGUUGAGGAAUGACAUUCAUGUGAUAACUCCGCCUGUGUGGUAGUUAAUGUCUUCUCUAUAACACAGCCGGUCCCAAGCCCGGAGAAAGGAGGAGGGUUGUUUUGUUAACCCAAUGACUAAAACACAAAAUAUCUUUUAAAUAUUGAAACAAAGAGUUCAUUUAUUCAAUUGAUCAAAGAUAGAUUACUAGGUUUAAAAUGUUAUGAUGGUUUUUAGCUUUUAGAGUUGGUACUUUUUGGGUCGAUUUUGCUCUUAUGAACUGUCACUUAUAAAAUUAGACCACAUCCUGUAUUUGAAUCUUUGUAACAAACAAAUCUAUCUGAAUCUUUGAAACAAACAAAUCUAUGCCCAAGCUAAUUUCUGUUUGUGUUAGUAACAGUGAUUGGUGAACUCAAUCAUCUCUUUCCAUUUCUUCAUUGGUUAAACUUUAAAGGAACAAGUUAUCUUGGUUCAGAUAAGUUAUAUAGUAAUUGUGGCAUUACUUCAUCAUACUCAAGCUGUGUAUUAUUCUGUAGCUAAACAGUGAGAGCACAAUUAAAUACCAACUCUAUGAAUAAAAUUGGUGGAGUCACUUUCUAUAAAAGAAACUUUAGGAGUUGCACUCAGUUUUGGGCCAAAUUGAGACCCUAUCCCUUUUUGAUCCCCCAUAAUCCUCUGUAGAUUUUUUUUUUAAAAAAACAAGCCGGUGGGUGUAAAUAGGUGCUCUUCCAAUAUUUUUCCUUGAAAUUUAAACUACAAACUGUUCUAUGAUCUGCUUCUGUUGAAGUGAACUAAAUUCAUUACCAUUUGAUUUCAACCCCAGAAAAUAAUGGUACCAGAGAUAGUGGAACAAAGACAUUGAGACAGCUACAUGUGGAGGAGGAUGAUGAAGAAAGGUUUCAAGCUGACCUUAAGAGAGCUGUACGCCAAAGUCUUGGUAUGUCUAUUUAUUUUUCAUUUCUGGGAACAAGUUCCCAAGAUAGUUUUAAUGUUUGUUAAUCUAGGGUGUUCUUUAUUUUUUGGGGAAUUAGUAGUCUAGGCUGUUCUCUAUCUGUAUAUAGUUCACUGCUCAAGCUUGAUGAUCAGAAGACUACUUAUCUACCCUAAAGUUAUCAGUUUCAAAAAAAAAAAAACUUAUCUAUCUUCUGUUUUUCCCAUCUGUCAAAUUAAGACCCUUUCUAAUGGUUUCUGAAGGAAAGUGACGUGCUAUAGCUUGAAAACUGGUGGCAGCUUUUGUUCUUCCAUUUGGCUUGAAGAAUUAACUGCUUUAAUAUUUUCCAUGUCCUGAUUGUUCAAGUGACUUCUGUCCUCAUUCUCUUCUUUUAUGUCAGAUGCAUUCCAUGCACAUCAGAAAUUUCCCUUGAUGGCAAGUUCAGGGGCACAGAGGAUGAUCUCUGAAACAGGGGAUUUGGGUAAUGAAAUUAGUUUUGGAAAUGUCAAAGAAAUGGAUGAUGUAUAUGGCACUGGGCUAAAGAAUGAAGUUGGAGAAUACAAUUGCUUUCUAAAUGUCAUUAUACAGGUUAGCAAUGCUUACAAGUGCUAAUCCGUUGUUUUAUAUUAUUAUAGACAAAUUAUCUUUGUUUGUUGUGCUCCCAAUUUUCUUCUAUUUCAAGUGCCUUCUCUGAUUUUUCUUGUUUUCUUGCCAUAUUUUAGUCAUUGUGGCAUCUAAGACAAUUUCGAGAUGAUUUUUUGCGAAGAUCAUCAUCAGAACAUGAUCAUGUGGGUGAUCCAUGUGUGGUAUGUGCUUUAUAUGACAUAUUCACUGCUUUGAACACGGCUUCAACUGAGAUGCAGAGAGAGGCUAUUGCUCCUACUUCUCUGAGAAUUGCUCUCAGCAACCUUUAUCCCGACAGUAAUUUCUUUCAGGAGGUAAAUGCGAAACUCUAUCGAGCGCUUCAUAAUUUACUAGGACUCAGCUUCUUUGAAUCCAAUUAACGAAAUAUUGACUUACAGGCUCAAAUGAAUGAUGCUUCUGAAGUACUAGGUGUAAUAUUCAAUUGCCUGCAUCGAUCAUUUACAUCAACUUUAGGUCGUUCAGAUGCUGAAUCUGCAGAUAGCAGUUGUACGGGCUCUUGGGAUUGCUCAAGUAGUGCUUGUGCUGUGCAUUCUCUUUUCGGGAUGGAUAUUUUUGAACGGAUGAACUGCUAUAAUUGUGGAUUGGAGUCUAGACAUCUGAAGUACACAUCGUUCUUUCAUAAUAUUAAUGCCAGUGCUCUCCGAACAAUGAAGGCAUGUUCUGUUGUUCUUUUAGGCAAUUUUGUGAUGGCACUUCAGUUUCCAUUCAGUAAAUUUAUCUUUUUAAGUUCAACAAGGGACAUUGUUUGUAUAAUGAGCAAUUUUCUUUACCAUUAUCGUGAGGAGUGGGGGAACUAAUUUGCACAUUUUACAGAGUAUUUUGUUCUUUCCUUUCAGGUUAUGUGUCCAGAAAGCUCGUUUGACGAGCUUCUGAAUCUUGUUGAGAUGAACCAUCAGUUGGCUUGCGAUCCUGAGGUUGGUGGAUGUGAGAAACUUAACUAUAUUCAUCACAUUCUCUCUGCUCCACCACAUAUUUUCACAACGGGUAACUAGUUCUGAUGUUUCCCCCUUCCCUCCUUUCUCUAAUUUUUUUGGUUGCCAAUGGGUAAUGUAAAUAUUUUAAGAGAAUCUAUUUGUUUCUAAUGUGACUUGUUUCUUCCUCCCCGCAGUUUUGGGUUGGCAGAAUACUUGUGAGGAUGUAGAUGACAUAAAAGCGACAUUAUCAGCUUUAUCUACUGAAGUGGACAUCGGCGUCCUUUAUCGUGGUCUUGAUCCGAAAAACAAACAUCGCCUAAUUUCUGUGGUAAUGUUUCUUUUCUUUUGUCUGCUGACUUUUUUCCUUUUAUGUAUUGCUAGGGAAUUAGUAUUGAAAAUCCCUUAACUAGUUCGAGCCAAAAUAUAAUCAAGUCACUGGCACUGAAUAUACAAAUCCAUUCAUAUUUCAGAAAAUUCCUGCUCCAAUUUUGAAAAAUCUCACAUGUUCCUUGUCAAUGUUAUAUAUAUUCAUAAAACCAUGCCAAUUGGUUUUUGUUCUAAAAAUAGUACAUGCCAGCUGGUUCAUUUUUAUUUUUUACGGUUUCAACCAAUUGAGGAUUACUUUCUGUCUUCUUUCAUGAAAGAAGUACUUGUGAUAUUGUGCCCUUUUUUAUACAUAAAGCCGUAUUUUUAUGAUUGAUGCAUAAAUGCGACUAUUUGGUCAGCACAGGUUUAUUCCAUUUUUUCGGUAUUUCCUUGUUUGUGUCAACAACAUAUACUGUUUUCCACCCAGAGUUUGGGUCAAAACAUAUCUCAAAUAAUAUAGCUCUCUCUGUUUGUUCCCAUGUGCAGAUUUUUCUCUAUUAAUCCUGAAUAUGUUUGAGAUUGUCUUUUUUUUAUAAAUAAAAUAGAACUUAUCUGCAUAUGUUUAAGCUAAAUGUAUCUUUCAUGUUGCUAGGUUGUAUAUAAGAAUCACUUUGUAGUACUUUUGGGUGUAGAACCAAGUUCCGUUUGUAUUUUAACAAGUGUCUGUUUAAUUCUGAUGUGGUAUGUGUCUAAAGAUGGAUACUUUUAUGACUCAACAUUUCUUUCUUUCAGGUUUGCUACUAUGGACAGCAUUAUCACUGUUUUGCCUACAGUCAUGAUCGUGGACAGUGGCUCAUGUAUGAUGACAAAACCGUAAAGGUAAUAUUCUGUUUCUUCCUAUUUUUCCUUGUUAUCUUUUGAAUAAGAUUUUGUUAUUAUGGAUAUUUUUUAUUCAGGUAAUUGGUGGCUGGGAUGAUGUUCUCGUUAUGUGUGAAAGAGGGCAUUUGCAACCGCAGGUCCUUUUCUUCGAAGCUGUAAACUAGUCCAGCCAGCAAAUGGUACCUCUCUAAUAGUCAAAAGAUGAUCUGGAUCAGCGUUGGUUUCUUUGAAGCUGUAAUCUAUUUCAGCUUAGAAAAAUACCUCCCUAAGCUGCAAUGAAGAUGUGCAACUGUGCUUUUCCAUUCAAUUGCCAAAGGCAAUGACGAUAUUGUGCACUGUUGAUCUGCAAAGUUACAAAAUUGUGUAAGAAACUGUACUAUACCAUCAGAAAUUUGUUGACGGGAUGAAGAGAAAAUAGGAGUAGUUGGCCUGCUAGCGAGAAAAACUUCUUCAAAUAUGUGUAUCAUGGUGGAAGUUAUCAGAGGAUUGGGAAGAAAAAUGUAAGUUAUGGUGCUGUUGAUACUUGGUAAGCAUUGGCAAAAUCAAAGAUUUGCGUCAUCUGAAAAUUUUGGAAUCCUUACAAUAAGGUGGCGUGGUUGAAGAAAGUAGUAGUUGCCACCAGUUUCGUAGUCAUGAGGAACAUGUAGAUGUUUGAUUUCUGAGAUAUUGCUUCUGUACACAGGUAAUGAAUCAUAUUAUCUUUCACUUCCAAUGUAAGCAAGUCUGUAUAGAUUGGCAAUUGGUCUGUAGUCUCUUAGUGAUGGUCAAUAGUAAGUCUUCUAUACACUCUAUAUUCAUUUUGUUGUUUCCUCUUAGAGGGAAAAGAAUUUUGAGUGCCCAGAAGUUAUGGGAACUUUGUAUUACGGAUGCCUACGAUAUUUAAUGAAAGGGAAGACACCAUAUUUGCUCGUCAAGCAGAAAAGCCGUUCGACUGUAACUUCUGGGUUUUUCUAGGGUACCGGUAUUUGUUUUUUUUUUUUCCUCUGAAUGUAUUGCUCUGUAUUUUAAUUGUAUUUUCUUUAAUGCUUUGCAACUGUUUCUGAUAAGUAUCUUUGUCACUUUUGAAUUCUCAAAAGAAAAAAAGCGUCUUUGUUAGUUUUGUAAACCAUGUUGUGUUUUUUUGGGAGAAUUGGUUUUUGGGUCACUUGCAGUUUCUUUUUUUAGUUUUAUGGCUUUUUUGCAGGAUAUUUUCUUCUUUCAUUUUGUAGGUGGCCAAAAGAUCUUAAUUCCUCUAAAUUUAUCAAGUGAAUCGUUGUUUUUUUUUACUUUCUUCUUUCUCCUAAAAAAAUUAAAAAUAUUCUGUCUUAACCAUUAAAACAGUUUGGAUUUUAUUCGGGUUUGUUUUCUUCCUAAAAUAAAACCAAUUCCUAAUGAGGUGAAAUCAAAACACAAAAAAAUAUCUUUGGAAUUUAACAUAGGAUGUAUGAAGAAAAUGAAGCAUAUACAUUAUUUAUCGACCACGAAAGAAGCAUCCCAAUCAUUCAACAACAACACUUCCUCUAGACCUCUACAGUCUGAGACGGGUAAAUCUACCAUUGAAGUUAGGGGUUCUACAUUAAGCCAGUAGUUUUGGCUCAGAUCUUAUAUUCAUGUUAUUAUACACUUAGUAUGCAUAAAAAAAAAACUCAUCCCAAAUCCACUUGUUAUCCUAUCUUAGAGUUCAGAACUCGUAAACUUAAAAUCUUGAAUUUGCCUUUUGUCCUGGAGCCCUGGAUUUAGAUCAUAUAAGCCUUGUAUUGUAUGAACCACAAUAUGGGCACUUAUGAUAGUGCCAGUGGAAGGAAGCAGUUCCUCUCUUCUGACAAUCAUUGCAUAAUAUAACCUGUAUGUAACCUUCUCAGUGUCAAGAGGAUUGAUAUCACAUUAACCCCAAUUCAAAAGAUAUUCAUACAUGGAAACAAAAUAAUCCCUUUGUUUCAAUUUGUUUGUCUGGUUUUGAUUUAGCACGAAGUCUAAGAAAGUAAAGAAAACUUCUUAAUACUAUGGUUUUAAACUAAAGAUAUGUUAAUGUACCAAAAUGUUCUUUAAUCUUGUGGUCUUAAACAUGUCAUGUGGAAAAUUGAAAUUAAAAUGUAGCCGAAAAAGGGAAGAAACAUUCUUUUUGAAACGGAGGGAGUAUGAUUUAAAUGAACCUGAAUCUGGCCAGCGUACUCCUCGGGAAUUUUUUCCUCAGACAGAAAUGCAUCUAACAUCUCAAAGAGCACCUGAAAUUAAGUACCAAAUGUGCUGCAUAGUCAAUACAUUUUCUAACCAUGAACCAGUCUAAUGAGCUAUUGCACUAAAUAGUUUGCUGACCUUCACGUCCCCAAUUGUCUUGCUACAGAUUGGGCAUGUGUAAUGCGUAAAAGUGUAGUCCUAAGAUGUGUAUUUAGAGAAAAAGAGAAAGGAAGAAAAGAUCAGCAGUACAAUCUGAAAGAUCCUGUAAGUUUGGUUAAGUAGGGAACUUUGUAUGAGUCUAAUACCUGAAAACAUGUUGAGUGCAUGAAAUGACCACAAGGAAGUUGUUUAACUGGAGUAGCUGAAGUGAAAAUGUCCUCAUGACAGAUUGGACAGUUAUCCUCCAAGCAGUUCUCUCGACAUGUAUGAAUAGAGAGAGACUUCGAUAACAAGCAAGCGUUGCAGGUCAUGCAAUGAAAGACUUCAACGCCUAAUCCCUCCCCCACUCGGCACAAAUUGCAGAAAGGGCAGUGGUAUAUCUGUCUGUUCAAAAAGUUGUAUGACUGAAUUAGUGAAUGAAGCACUUUGCUGGAGCAGAAGUAAUUCUAGUCUAUGAAGUUCGAAAUAACUGUCUUUUGUACUCAUUACAAACAACAAGAGCUCCUUUCUUUUCCUUUAUUUUUUUCAUGAAGGGAAAUGGAGAAGGGAUUAUGAACCCUCACCAACAAGGUGAAAAUUCAGGUAGCCAACCUACUGAGCUACUAAGAUUUCCCCAAAAAGAGUUCGUUAUUUUUAUGACCAUAGUUCAUGCCUAUAGCUUUCUUACUUAAACAUUCUAAGAAAGUUCCACUUUUUUGCUUACUCAUUUUGUGUCUUGUACUCUUACCACUGCACAAGGAACUAAAAUAGGACUUAUUUGAAUAAACACUAUGGAAUUCUUAGGUGUGCUACUUGGUAUACUAUUUCUCGCUUUAAGCCUGUGAAGAUGUGACCCUUGGGAUUAACCCCAAAUGCUAGCUCUUGAACGGAGGAUAGGCCAAUAAUAUACAAUUAUUCGAUGAGGGGACAUAAUCCCCACAAGAUCAAAUGUAAACCUGAUUCACUCACCUGUCAUCAUCAAACACUUUGCAUAUUCUGCAAUAGUAUUUAGCCAUGGAGAAAUUGUUGCAAGUAAGAGUUAAGCAACUGGGACAGAUAGGUUGCAUCUUCAAACAUUUCAUGCACAUCAUCUGGGUGAUAGAUUUUCUGCAAGCAUGGUCAUAACCAGAGUUGGGAUAUGUUAAACCAGCAGGAAAAAAAAGUAAGUCUUUACCAAUAGGCAUGAAGACCAAGUGCAUCCCACUCACACCUGUCCAGACAAUGAUCAGUAAUUUCAUCAUGACAUCGUAUACAUGGAAAGAGCUCAUUACAACAUGGAGCAAGUAGCUUGCAGUUCCUCUUGUAAUGCUUGCAACCAAAAACUGAUUCUGUUUUAUCACGAAAUGACGGACAUUGACCAGUGAUUUUCUCCUUAUCCUUUGCAGUAGCAACCUCUGAAUAAGACUUCUCCUGUGUCAAAAUCCAUUGACUGAAAGAAAUCCUUGUAAUGUCAAGUCAAAUAAAAGAGGCAGAAGAAAUAAACUGAAAUGUAGAGAAAAGAAGAAAAGUAGAGGUGCUUAAGUGUUCCGAUAGUCCAGAGGAAAAUUGACUUUGUUUUUCCUAACAUUCACUGGUAAAAGUUCAAUUCUUUGUCAUCCUGGAUACCUCCAUUGUAUUAUCACUGAACGUUCUAAGUUCUAACAUACAUUAUUUAAGUGCAGUCGAACAAUUUUAGGAGCUACUAAAAUUCAGGAAAAGAACCAAAAAACUAGAUUAUGCAGGAACCAGUUUUCCGGUUCUCUCUGAUUGGUGCCACAACUGCCAAUCUUGAUCCAAUAGCAACCACUACAUGGAAAUCAUGGUGAAACCAGGACUAGAGACUGAACUGAUGAUGUACAUGUAUUAUGAACAUAUUCAGUUAUCUAUAAUACUAUUAUGCAUUAUCAUACUUAUGAUACUGGUAAUUAUGUAACCAUAUAUGGCUUCUUCCCAAGAAACAAAUCAAAGGAUAGAAGUUGAAAAUGUAUUUGCCUCAUUAGCAAGCUCUGCAUGAGGUGUGAUUUCUUUACAGAAUCCAAAGAGGAGUCGCCUGAUACUCUUCUUAUUGCGUCAACCAGCUUGUCUUGAGUCAGCAUUAGAUGGUGCUCCUUGUGAUCCUUUUGCUUUGACUGCUCAUAUAAUUUUAUAUCCUGACAAGUUGUUUCUUUUUGAUUAGCAAUGUCUGUUGUGUCAUUGCAUCUUUUCUUGUCAACAUCAGUAGAAUGCUGAGAUAUAUCUAUGGCUCGAUUAACAUUUUUGUUUCCCUUGGCAUUCUGGGAUUUAUCUGCAGCGAAAAGUCCAGAUUGAUCUAAAUCAUGAUCAGCACACUCUGUCGAUGAAAAGUUCUCCCCUUUCUCGUGGAAGACGCUUGAACUCCUGAAAUCAUCUCUUGACAAAUAUGUAGACAUAACUUCUAAAGGAUCAACAGCCAAUGCAAGAGAAAGCUUUGAUCCCUUUUCUGCGUUUACACUCUCAUCUCUUUUUAUACCUUCCCACCACUCUCCCAGCCACUCAAAAAACUUUGUAUUCUUUGUGACUUUACGCCAGAUUGACACAAUGCCAUGUUGUUCUUCUGGUGUUAGAGAUGCCAUCAACCAGGGAAUCAUUUCUUGUAGAUUCUCCGCUUUGGUUCGUCCAAGCAUGUCUCCAAUAAUCUUUUCUUGUUCCUCAACAGAAAAAUGUUCUUUGAAUAGUGGCCAAAGUUCAACUUCUUCACGGUAGAUGUGGUCAGUGAGUGUUUUAUGCAUAGAUAUGCAUGUAUCAUGUAGAUUUAAGCACAACCUUUUGUAUUUCAGCUUAUUACUGUCAAUCAUGUCCACAUAACCUUGCAAACUGGUGAUCUCAUUUAAGAUGAUAGAAAUUCUAUCGAAUUGCUCAACCUCCAACUUAUGGUCAAUGCCAUACGAAUGGCUGACAUUUUGGAGCUGUCCCUUAGAUUCCAAGGCAGGAAAGGCAAUUUCAUCCUCGGACUUACUAUGCAGCUGAUAUAGAAAUCGUACGUGAUGGAAAUGUCUUUCAAAUUCAGCAAGGAGUCCCACAUCUUCAGCCAACUUAACUGACAGAGAAAGAGCAUACUGCAAAUCUUUUUUCAGGGCUUUGUGGAAGAAAUGGAAAAAGUCAAUUGGUUUUACAUCAAGACUGGAUAAUCUCAUACCAUCAACAGCAGUUUCAGGAAGGCAGAAUAAGUCAUUCAGUGAAUCCGAGAAAAAUAUACGAAGAUUGAUCCCAUUAGAAUAAGGUGUAUCAUGCUUCCCAAGGUUGUCAAGUGUUGAAGGGUGAUAAGGUCUAUCAGGGGAUUGCAUUUCCGAGUGCGAGGAAGAACUUCCAGAAUUCUUGCUCCACUUUUCAAACAAAGAGCUUCUGCUACUGAACAUUUCUUCUAAAUCUUUUCUAAACUUCUCAACUGAGAUUUUGCCUGAAUAACCCAUCCGAACCCACUCAUAUAAAAGAGUAGCAAAGGACUUGUUAACUACAGCAGAUUCCAACUUUAUAUUGUUCAACAUCAUUUUGGACUCAUCCUCAGAUAAAUGAGCAGAGAACCAAAUAAUCAUGCACUUUAGCAACCCAAGUGGCAACAUAUGCAGGCUCAUGUACAAUAAACAAAGCUGCAAUUCAUGACUGCAGGUCUCUCUAAUGAACACAAACACCUAAAAGAAACCAGAGGAACAGAAGUCAAUAUAAAUAUCAUUUCCAAAGGCAUGCCAUUUGCCUGCUAUGUUUGAGCAUCAUCAUGUUGUGGUAAAACUACAGCUGGAAAGACGGCGUACCUCGGUUUCUAGAAACUGCAGCUUUUUGUUCAUCCUCCCAACAAAUAGUUCCACUUCCUGGCAAAGCAUAUCUACAAAAACCUUUAUUUGUAUCUCCCCAUGCAGCUUAUAGUAUAGCAAUCUCUGCAGUUCUUCAAUUUGACUUCUUUCAAUAAAUUGUUCAUGAAAAGUAGAAAGGGCAUCCGUGUUCAAUUGAUCUACCAAGGGAUAGUAGAUUUGAUCCAGUGCAUUGCUGUAAAUUAAAGCAACACUCAGGAAAAAAAAUCACAUUGAGUUUUUAUCAAGUACAAGAAUUUAGCUGAGAAGUUACUACCUGUAGAAUGUGAAAACAUCUGCAAAAAACUUCAACUGUGUAAUCACUGACAACAAGGUUGAAACACAAAGCGAGCUUCGUAGUUGAUAUAGUUCCUCCAUAAUUACUCUUAGAUCUCGUGUUAUAGCAGCAUGCCAGAUAUGAAAACCAUCAAUUGGAUUAUGUUCUUCUGAAGCCUUCUGGUGCUGCAUUUCCUUGCACUGAACCAUCAGCACAUCCAUUUCAAAUAUGUACUUCAUAUUGGCUUUUCCAUAAUGAAAUUUAGCGCCUUUUCCAUCUUUUAUGCAGGACCGGGAAGAUGCUUCCUUGUUAUCAUCAAGCCAUGAGAUGAACACCUUCAAAAUUUGAAGAAAAAAUAUUGUUAGAUCGAUGACUUAGGACUUUACACUUAACAAUAUCGAUGGAGAAUUACUUUAAAUCUACCUCUUGAAUAAGUUUUUCUUCAGGUAAGACUAUAUGUAUGAAAUUCAGAAAGUAUGUCUUUUCAUGUGAAGAAAGACUAGCUGUUAGCCAUGGCAUAAAAUCCUCCAGUAUCAUUAGAGGAACACUACAUAGGUAUUGCCAAACGAGCCUAGCCUGCUCUUCGGAAGAGAAUUUCUCCAUCAUCAACGGAAAAAUCUGCAUAGAAAUUUUAUUUGCUAGCAAUUUCAGAAGAAAGGGACUAUUCAGAUGAAAAAUUGAUACUGAAGAUUUGGCAAAUUACCUGCUCCUCUUCUUUUAGCAUAUGCUGAGAAAUGGUUGUCUGGAUGGUACCUAUGCUACAUGUUAGUUCAUUAAACAAGACGGAAACCUCCUUUUUCUCCUUUUGUAAGCGAUCCAAGCAAUCGAAGAUGGAACUGAACAGAACAUCUAUACUAUUGUGUUCAAGUGAAUAUGUGAAGACCACAUUCUUCACUUGUGCAUCUAGUGCUUGAAAAAGGACCUGUCAAUGUUAAUAUUCAGAUUUUGGCUUAACAAAAUCUGCAACAGGUAAUAUCUUGACAAAUGCCAGUACUUUUAUCAGAACUAUCAGUGAGCUGAGUAUACAACAACAACAACAUACCCAGUGUAAUCCCACAAGUGGGGUUUGGGUAGGUUGGGGGGUACGCAACCUUACCCCUGCCUUGUGAAGGUAGAGAUGAUGUUUUCGAUAGACUCUUGAGUCUUGACUCAAGUAAAGCAUAUAAAAAAAAUUAGGUUUGUAAAUAGCAGCAACAAAAUAAUACGAUAACUGAAGCAAUAGAAACAACACAUAGCACUAAAUUGAAGAUUAAGAUAGUAGGAGAGUAAUAAUCACAAUAUUGAAAAAGGAAACUAGACAAGGCUCGACCUACUAACCUUCUACCCUAAUCCUCAUCCUCCAUAACUUCCUAUCUAGGGUCAUGUCCGAGGUUAGCUCCAAGUGAGUCAUGUCUUGUCAAAUCACCUCUCCCCAAUACUUCUUCGGCCUACCUCUACUACUCCUAAUACCCAUUAUACCCAACUUCUCUACCUUCAGUGAGCUGAGUAUACUGCUAAAAAUGACUUUUCUUGGUACAACUGGUGCAGUUUGUUAGUGGCGUUUUGUCAAACACUACUAACUUAAGCCAGAAAGUCACAAUUUGAUAUAAAAAAAAGUACAUGGAUAUCAGCAGGUAAAAAUCAUGAGUCAAUUCACUAGAAUUACAAGUUUGUGUAAUAAUUAGAGACCUCUCAUUCUUCAGUAACUUAUUUCCAAACAAAUGAUGAGGUACUCUAGUAAUAAUUCAAGUAGCAUUGUUGUAACUGUGCCCUUAACAUAAAGGGGUCUUAGCUCUCUCCAAACGUUUCACACAAUUCAAAUAUGAAGAACUAAACACACCAAGAAGUCAAAAGGGGUUCAACAGAGCAAGGACGUGUUUUCUCCCUUUUUCAGUGAAAAAUAUGUUUUUUGGUGUUUACAACAACAUACCCAGUGUAAUUCCACAAGUAAGGUCUAGAAAGGUACGAUGUACGUAGACCUUAACCUACCUUUGUGGGAUAGAGAUAUGGUUUCCGAUAGUCCCUCAGGCUCAAAAAGUGCAAUCAAAACAGGAUAUAAAGGAAAGUAACAACAACAACAAAACAGCAAGAUAAACAACGAAAUUGAAGUAACAAUAAGCAAUAAAAAUGAAGAAAUAACAUAUGAUCAUUUGACAGUGUUAAAAUAAAAUACAUAAGGAUUGUAAAAAAAAAAAUGUUCUAAUCUCUGCAGAAUUCAAUAUUUUACCUCAUCUUCAGCAACACAAUGAUACUUAUAAACAAUCUUCAAAAAGUGUAACCGCUUACAAAGUUGAUCAACUACUUCACCACGACCACCACAACCACCACUAUCCAAUGCUUCAACCGCAACACAACGAAUUUGAUCAAGCUCAAUUUCAACAGCUUUGUGAGAAAGAACGAAAAACAGAAUCGGCGAAUCAACUAAUAGUUUCACAAAAUCAUCAACAACAACAGAAGCAGAACAAGAUGGCAAGGCCAGAGUGUCGUCAUCAUCUUCCUUACCACCCAUUUACUACCACCUGUCAUGAAUGGCAACAAAGACCAAAUUGGUAGUAGUAAUUUCAGCAUUGAAAAUGAUACAAUAAUAGAUUAAUUGGUUUGUUUUUGGCUCUUUGCUUCUUCUUUUUUUGGUGCAGACAGGCCUAUUUGGUGCCUCUUCAAAGUUCAAAUAUUUAUUUGUUUAUUUGACAUGCCUUGUACUACUAGUAUUUUAUUUGUUACGUAUAUAUAUAUAUAUAUAUAUGUUUGUUAAUACAAUUUUAAUGUUGCUGAUUUGGUAUUUUGGUUUGAUGUGAAGCUUACCUAACGACUAUUAUUGCCUCGCGCCUUUUGAGACUUGACAUGGUACGAUAGAUAUCGAAUUAUUAUAUUAAAAUAAAAAAAUGAGAUUUUUUAUAUUAUUAUUUUGAAAUUAUAGUAUUUGUUAUGCAUUAUAAUUUUCUUUUGGUAUUUUGUAUGAUAUUCAGUAUUUCUUAACAAAAUGCUAAAAAUGAAAUACUAUAAUUACAUAUAUAGUAUUAAUAAUACUAAAAGAUAUGUAACCUAGUAUGAGGACAAAUUAUUGUUUUGAUGUUGCGAUUUUGACUAUUUUAUCUUAAUUGAAAUGUUUUUUUGUGUAAUUGACUAACGAAGGAGAUUGAUUGUAUUUUCUUUUGAAUAUUGUAUACGUGUGUAAGGUGAUAGUAUGAUAUAAUUGAGACAUUUUUUAAAGAGCGAAAAUCAUAAUUCUCUAUUAUACGUAAGUCAAAGUCAAACAAAUUAUGAUUAUUGACUUACCAAACCACAAAAUAUCAAAAUCAAACUUGAAAAUGUCAAACCAUACAAAUUAAUUUGUAUGAUAAUGAUAUACUCCUAUAUUUUUGAGAAUCGAAAUUACCAAACUAUAGUUUUAAAUAUCGUACCAUGCCACCCUAAUUAUUAAUACUCGCAUGAGCAAAAUUAAUAAUUUAUCAAAUUCAGUUAAUAAAACUUUGUUCAGAAUUGUAAGGACUGAAGAAAGUAACACGCGAAUGAUUAGCAGUGUUUUAUUUGUUAGAGAUUUUACAAAAUAUAAUUAAAUGACAUAUUUCGUAUCAAAAUUUAUUUAUACACAACAAUGCCAAAACAUUUUAUAAAUAAAUUUUAUAAAUCCAAUCUAAUGUGAGAAUUUUAUACAAGUAUAAAAAAAUCUUAUAUGUUGAACUUUCUACAUAUGCUAUAUAUAAGUAUUGAUAUGGUAUAUUAAUAUAGUGCGUAUAUUCUCAAAACAAAAUAUAAAAUGAAAUAAUAGACAUUUAAGUUCAUCAGAAAAUGAAAAAGAAGAAGAAGAAGAAGAAAUGACAUUUUUGAAGAAAAAAACUUAUUUUUAGUUUCUCAAUCUUUGGUGAAUGUUUCACGCAAUCGACAUUUUUCAAGUAAUAUUGUUAUUUAUUACAUAUAAUAUUAACAAAAUAGACAUAGAUGACAUGUUAAUUUUUGUCGGAGAAAUGAAAGGCUCAAUUAGUUAUAUUGUAAAAGUGUGCUUACUUGAUCAAAUGAACUUAUUACAUUUAAAGGAAAAUAUAAUAUUAUUGUAGAACGAAAAUUAUUUAAGUUCAGAUUUUCCCCUACUUCAAUUCUAAUUAUAUAUAUAUAUAUAUAUAUAUAUAUGGUUUAUUAUAGUUGUUUAAUAUAAAAAAAUUAAAGUUAAAAAAACCUAUUCAUUUAUGGAUUAUAACGAGGAUUAUAAUUUAUGUACAUCAUCAGCAUAUAUAUAUAAAUAUCGAUUAUGGCUUAUGGCAGCCUGGUUACUGGAGUGAAACCAACGCUGACCCCUUCUUUUGUACGCUCUAACUUGGUAUCAGAGCAGACAGAGAUCCUGAGAUCGAAUCUCACCGCUACCCAAAAAUCAAAAAGAAUUUUCACGUGCUUGGCCCAUUAAAAAAAAUCAGGCCUGCACGUGAGGGGGAGUGUUGAGAAUAUAAUUAAAAUAAUAAAAGUGUGUUCUCUUUAACAGCUUAAACUUUUAGAUAAGAUGGUCACACACUUCAACAUUUAACCAAGAAAUUAUAGAUGUAAAAUAUUCUAAUAUUAAUUUUAGAUUUGCAGAUAAUAUUUUUAUUUUUUUGUUAAAAGUAUUGUUAUAUAUAUAUAUAUAUAUAUNNNNNNNNNNNNNNNNNNNNNNNNNNNNNNNNNNNNNNNNNNNNNNNNNAUAUAAUAACUGAAACAUCAAAAACUAUUUGUUUGGUUCUAUUUCACUAGUUUAUCCGUGAUCUUAUUGUUCGUUAUCAAUCAUGUGGAUAAUGUUAGUAGAAUCAAUUUGUAUUUUCAAGAGUUGGGUUAAGUUCUACGGCUAGUUGCAAUUCCCUUUUCAAUGCUUGGAGUUCUGCCAUCACAGGGCUUGUGUGGAUGUGAUCUCAACAAAUCCCAACCUCCAUUGACCAAUAUGACUCCUAUUCGGGAUUAACACUUUUCAUAUAUGAUGGUUUUUUGUUAUUUGGUCAUUUCUUAUAGUAUCAAUGUUCUUAUCAAUGGUCUUAUUUUUUUGCUGAAGGGAUUGUUAUUUUUUUGUUAUUGAAUGUAUACUCUUAAUAGAGUUCCAAAGUUAUUGAUUAUCUAACUCUUAAUGGACUUCCAAAAGUCUAUCCAGUAAUUGAUAUUAUGCAGAUAAUGUUAUUCCACCAACAUGGUGACUCAAGUGUAAAACAAUUAAAAUCUCUACAAAUAAAAGACCUCUAACAAAUUUAUUUUUAUUAUAUCUUAUUAUAUAAAAUGAUCAUUUGUAUGUAUUUAUAAUUUAUAACUUUAUAUGAUAGAUAAGUAUCUUAUAUAUAACUUAUUUGUUUUUAUUAUAUUUUAUUAUAUAAAAUGAUCAUUUGUAUGUAUUUAUAGUAUAUAACUUUAUAUGAUAGAUAAGUAUCUUAUAUAUAGCUUGAGAAGUUCUUUAAAAAAAAAUAAAGUGUUAACCAAUUGUUGCAAUAUAAUACAUUGGUUCUUGUUCUAAAAAAUUUCAUUGGUAGAUAAUAAUUUUUUAAGUAAUUUAAUUCAAAGUUCUAAAUAUUAGAUAAAGUUUUACUAUUAUUUAAUUAGAAUUUCAAUUUUGUUCACUCAAUUCCUAAUGUCAUGACUAUAAAAGAAAAUAAUGAACUUUUCUAAUUAUUAAUUGCAAUUUGGUUAUAUGUACAUAUAUUAGUAAUAAUAUUCUAGUAUUUAUGAGAAGACUUUGCUUAAAAAAAUUAAAAUUAAUUGUAAUUUAAGAUAAAUAAAAACGGCAAUAAUGUAUCAGUUAGUCUAAUUCCAUAAAUAAGGUUUAAACAUGACAUAUCGUAUGUAAAUCAAAUCCCUACUUGAAAAAUAAGUGAAAAUGGGUUAUAACUAUUCUUUUACUUUUAGAAAAAGAGUUAUAUUUACCGCUUGUCAUAUUUUUUUUAAAUAUAUUUGUCCAGGUCAUCCAACUUUAGACACAUAUAUUUGCCCUUAGACGGUUAAGUUUCAUAUUCCCUAAUUUCGUUAUCAUAUGCGACACCUACAUCUACAUGACAUGCCUACAUGAAUAUAUAUAUAUUUAAUUCAAUUAAAAUUUCUUCCUAAUUAUUUAAUAAUUAUACUCAAACCAAUAUUACAUUGAGAGACUCAACUCUAUCAGAUUGGCGAAUCAGAAAAGAAUCCUUUUACUAUAUGGAAUUACAUUAAAGACUACGAGGUUUUUUUUAUCAUAACAUUUUUUCACAUUCUUGAUUUUUAGUAAUUGGGUAUAUGUUAAGAAUGAUUUAUGGGUCACCGAUAUUUUUUUUAAAAAUUUUUUGUUUGUUAUUGUUCAGGUGAUGGUAUCCUUUUAAGCUCUGCUAUCCUAAUAGAGUAGCAAUUGAUAUCAGGGGCGGAGCCACCGGGGUGUCAAGCGAUACUCUUUCGUCGGAAAAUGACAUUGUAUAUAAAUGUCAAAUUUGAUUUAAUAAUAUAUAUACAAGUAUUGAUACCUCUUUACAUAAGUUGAAUGUUUAGUCUAGUGGCUAAAGAUUUACGAAAAUUCUUUGAGGUUGCAUGUUCUAGCCUUGCCAAGUAAGAUGAUAGAAGUGAGGAAUACAAAAUUUAACUGAGUUGGAUGCCAAGGAUACAUAUAUUACAAAAAAAGUAUGAUAAAGGACAAGUAUAACCCUUUUAUGAAAGUGCUAUAACGAUAAAUAUAAUCCUUUUUCAAAAAAUAAAUGUUAUUUCCAAGUUAUUUAUUUAUCUCUUAAUCCAAGCUUGAAAUAAUAAUUAAAUUUAUUUUAAUGGUUCAAAAAUACACGAGUUGUAAUUACCAAAUAAAUCAAAGGUGGGAGUAAUAGAGCUGUGCAUUGUGAUGAAAAUAGAUAAGUUACAAGUGAGGGGAAGAUAUAUCAUAUAUAGUUUUAUAAUCAAAGAUAUGUAUUUAUAACAAUAAUAAUUCUAAGUAAUGUUUUUUCGUGCCCUCCGUCUUUCAUAAUUAUCAUUAUCUACACGUUAAAAUUAUUAUGUUUGCUUUGUUGUAGAGAAUCUUAAAUUCUCAAGGGAUCGUUAUUGAUAGACUUUGUUUGUUUCGAAAAUUAAUAAACUCAACCUCUGGAUUUAUUGCUUCAGAGUUAUUGUGUGUGUGAAUUUUAUUUAUUCUUUUUUAUCGAUUUAAGAGACGAGCAAAAUAUUAUGAGUUUUAAAUAAAUGUCUAAAUGUCUGCCUUUCAUGCUUUUAAUUUGGCACGUGUUGUCGACAUAACCUCACGUGUUAGUCUCGUGUCUUUCUUCUCUCAAGUUUUCUAUUUCGAGUGAUAAAUUAAUAAGUUUUCGUUUUGUCAUACAUUUCAAAAUUGAAAUUUAAAACUUGCAAAUUUGUAUUUUUGAAACUCGAAAUUGUGUUUGGACAUAUAUUUUACUUGUUUUUUUUUAAAGUUUCUUGAAUGGAAUUAAAAUAAAACUUGAAAUAUUUUGAAGAAUUUUUAAAAUCUGAUCAAAUUUAUAACGAGACACAUAAUUGAACUUCUUUUUAAAAUCUAAUCUAAAAUUUAUAAUCAAACACUAGUUAAAUAAUGCGCUCUUACGACAAUGUAUAAUUUAAGACGUUGAAUCACUAAGUAUUAUUUUUAUUAUAAUGAUUUAUUUCCUAUCAAGUCUCGAUCAUAAUUCAUAAUAUAGCCUAAGCCGACCAUUUUCAAAGAAAAAUUAUAUACCACGUAUCAAAUAGUUGAUCACCGUACAAAAUUUAAUAUUUUUUAUUUUUCAUUCCGGAUAUUAGAAGAAUUUGAUUAAAUUUCAAUUUGUACAUUACAAAAUUUAUUUUGGUGGCGAUGCUUCUAACAAUUUUUUUUUCCAGAAGCUUAAAUCAAAGUUCUAAUUAAGAGUAAAGAUCACAAUCAUAUCAUCACCAUCUUAAUUAGUCAAAAUUGAUUUAUUAUUAUCAAAUCGUUGACAACAGUGCGAAUGUCAACAUUAUUUUUUGCUAGAUUUCUGGAUGGGCAUGAAAUCAUAACAAGUUUGUGUGACAUAAGAUUGGAAGAUUUGCAAUGGAGUGCGGUCACAAAUUAGUUGGCUGUUGAAAAGUUUUAUUAAACUAAUACAAAUUUAAUUGGUUGAUACUUUUCCGUUUAGCUAUAAAUUUUGAAAUUAAAACUUAAAAAUUUGAAUUUUUCUAAGUCAGUUUUAGAAAUUUAAAAUUUUGUUUCGACGUGCAUUUUAAAAAAAUAAAAUAAUUUCUUUCAUAAGUGAGUGAAAUUUCUUCCAAUACUAAUUCGAAUCUUUUUCAUAAUUUUAAAAUAUUUUGAAGACAAAUUUUUAGAAUAUAAUCCAAAAUUUAUAGCCAAAUAAAUAUUUUAUUUAUAAAAGAAAUUAUUAUCAAACACUAACUUAAAGUCUUUUCUAAAUGUGGAGCUUCUAAGUGCACCAAGAGCCACUUGUAGGAUUGCUAUUUUGGAUAUAUUUAGCAUUUACAAAGUAGGAAGAAUUUUUUUUUAUAUUUAAUUGAUCAUAUAUCUUGAAAAAUAAUUAUUUUUUUAAAGAAAAAUAAACUUAAUCUCUGAUGAAAAUAAAGAAAACAAAUUUCACUAAUGAUAUUUCAUAUUGAUUAUGUCCGCCUCAUCUACACCCAUCUGUAUGAUUUGCAUUCCUACCAUCCCACAUUCCUACCUCCCCAUCCCCACCUUCCAUGGUAUUUUUGCCCAAAUAUUAUUUCUACAUUAACAAUGGCUAGUUGUCAAAUAGUUUUGGAAUUGUGAAUUAUUUUUCAAUAACGGUCAUAAAUAUAAAAAAAUUACAUAACAAACAUUUAAUUUUUGACCUUGUUAUCAUAAAUUUAAUAAAUUUAGAUUCUUGCUAAGAAAUUGUUUCAUCAUCCUCAUUCUUCUUCAUUAUGAUGAUCGAAAGAUUUCUAGCUAUAUAUACUAAAAAUAUGUUAGCGAUAUGUGAUCAAAUUUCGACGAUCAUCGUAACUUAUUGUUAAAAAAAGAAGACGAACUUUAUCAUAUAGCCACUCAAAAAAUAGCCCAAUUACGCUUCAUAGCCAUAGUUUGCUAAUUACGAUUCGUAGGUACAUGUUCUAGGGAGGAGAGUGGCGAGCAAAACUAGGAGAGGGAUGAGAGAGGCGAACGAGAGAGGGCAGAGAGGGAGAGAGGUAAAUUGUAUAUGUAUAUCGGUUAGAUAAUUGUAUAUUAUACAUAUGUAUUUGUAUAUUCUGGCGAGUGAGAUUGGGAGAGGGAGGAGGGAGGCGAGAGAGAGGGGAUAAUAAUUUGUAUAAUUCACAUCUCGUUUGUAUAAUCCGCAGGUACGUUUGUAUAUUCACGUGUUUUUGUAUAAUUGAGUAAUAUAAAGUCUGGAAUUAUACAAAUAUAAUAAAACUCGAAAAUAACGAAUUGAUACAAACAUAAACAUAUGAACUUUAAACAAUUAUACAAAAUAUAUUAUACAAAUUACAUUAUAUAAAUUAUAUUAUACAAAAUCCAAAAACUACACGUUUAUAACAAACUUUAAAAAAGUUAUACACAAAAAGAUUGAAUGUAUAUGAUGACAAAACUGAAAAACCAAAUGAAAUCAUGUCAUAUACAAAUACAAAUCAAACAAAGAAUUGUUAGUUGCGAAUUAUAUAUAUAUAAACGUGACUAAUUAUACAAACUCAAAGUCAUCGCAUGUAAUUAAUGGUUAAUGUUAGUCGCGAGUGGUAAUUAUAGCAAACUAUAGCUAUGAAGCCUAUGAUGAGUAAUUAAGUAGUAUAAGUUUGUUUAAUUGCGUAAUUUUCCAAAAAAAAAAAACACGGCUAUUUGUGAUUCCUCCCUCACCCACCCACCCGGACAGAAGCCCGGUCCAGAUUCUUCCCGUUUUUCAAAAGCCCAAUGGAUUGGGCCGGUCAAAACCCGAUUUCGACCCAUCUGAUCUUCCCCAAAAUUAAGCAAACUGAAAUAUUACAAUAAGAAAGUUUUUUUGCUACAAUCACCAAAACCUUUCUUUUCUGCUCCAAAAUUCUUCAUUCUCUCUAUCACAAGCCUCAGUUUAGCCUGCUCAAUCUGCAUCAGUUGCUGAAUCAAAGGAGAAAAGAACAGAGGAUAGAAAGAAUCAGUCACCAAAAGAUGAAGACAACCAAAGGAGGCAAAGUCAUGAACCCUACCGAUGCUUAUCGCAAGGAGAUUCGCAAGCGAGAAUUGAAAAGGGUAAUUUUUUCUUAAUGCACUUCUUAUGAAUUAUCAAUCAAUCAGCUUCAGCUACACUUCAAUUAAGCUAGUUGGAAUUUGCUAAAAAAAUUCUAUAUUAGUUCAAUACGGGUUUUUGAACUUCAUAAUUAUAGCAAAAUCCCAUCGUGGCCCUUUUUUUUUUUUUUUUUUUUUUUUUUUUUUUUUUUUUUUUUUUUUUUUUUUUUUUUUUUUGUGUGUGUGUGUGUGUUGUAAACGUAGUUUUAUGGUUCAUUUCAAGUCCCACAUCGGUACUACAAAGUGCUAAUUGGGCAGCUUUGUCCAUCAAUUUGACAAAUGUGAAGAAAUUGACAUACAUGGCAUUUCUUUUGUCAUCUGCUGGGAUUAAGUGGCACUGUGCUCCUUGUGGUCUUAUGUUGUCUUUUACUGUGGAUUUACGUCCUUUCUUGCUUUCUGGGAGGUUUAUGGAAUUGUUGCACUCACUUGCUUUAAAGUUUCUAUUACAAAAUCAAGGAGAAUCCAGAGAUGAGAUGACUUAAUUAGUUUUAAAGGAAAGUCUGUUUAUUUAAAUUUGGUUUUGAUAGCUGUUAAUAAUGCUUGAUUCUUUGUGUUUUUAUGCUUCCACAGAACAAGAAAGAAAGGAAGAAGGUUAGAGAAGUGGGCAUCUUAAAGAAGGACCCGGAGCAACUAAAAGAUCAAAUUGAUAAAUUAGAAGUGAUGAGUAAGUUGCUGCACAUUUUACAAUUUGUAGUAUACCACUUGUUUAUCAAUCUAGGUAAGUUGGGUGUUGGACAUAUUAUGAGAUUGAUUAAGAUUUUGAAAGAGAGGAAGGACCAUCACGUGAUAUUCAGUGACAUAGAGAAAACAUAGAUCAAUGCCAAUGAAAGUCAUUUGGUGGAUGUUUGAGAAGAAAGGAAUUCAUAUUAAAUGUAUAAAUCAAAUGAUAAUAUGUAUAAAAGAAGUUGUGUGAGAAUAGUGAGAGGGUAUAUACCAGGAGUUUCCCUUAAUCAGAGUUUACAUCAAGGAUAUGCCAUGAGCCUCAAACUUGUUUACCCUUAUUAUAUAGGUCCACUGUAAUACUCGCAGUAACAACCCAUCAACGAACUUACCAAUACCAGUAAAGUUUAUCUUCUUCAUCUCAAAAUAUGCCAACGUCACUUUAACCUCAUCUUUGCUGUCAUCAACCACCAAGGCACCAACCCAACACCACCUUUCUACUAUCAGUGGCGAAUCUCCUCCACCUAAAAUUCCCAACCUUCAAAUCACCUCUUUGUAACUAAGAGAAAACCAAUCGGUCCUUCACCUCCAAAAAAUCCUCCAGUGAACCUGUAAGAAACCACCACCGAAACCUCCCCUUCUCCACUACCCUCUUUCAUUAAUUCCUUUCAUCCUCUCCAACCCCCCCGGUCCAUUAUGCCUCGACCCCAAGUUUCCUCACACCAGUAGCUCUUGGAGAUUUCUCCAUUAUCAAAAAAAUUAUACAUCAAAAUUCAAAUUGCGAUUAAAAUUAUUGUUUUAGAAACAAUUGUAUGAUAGUGACAGUUCUUAAGACAAAACUUACUUAAGCAUAUCAAAAUAAAAUUUUACAUAGGCCAACUAAAAUCAGAGGUCAUCUGAGAUGGUUUUGCUAUGUUACACUCUGAUCUUCAUAUGCACCCGUUCUAGAUGUGACAACUUGACUACUGAAGGUGAUUAAGAGGGAUGAGGUAGAUCUAAAAUUAUACUGGAAAAAAUAUCAAAGAUGUAUGACCUCUCAAAAUCAAUGCGAACUUAAAGGAUUCAUAUAGAGAAUGCCAACUACAACCAAUUGGGAUUAAGACUUAGUUGUUUUGUGGCAUUCACAUUAGGUCCUGUGCUUAUUAGAAGUCCUUGAUUUUGGUAGAGAUUUCAUAUUGAAUAGUGUAUGAUUUUGAAACUCUGGUUUUAGAUAAUUCCUAAUUUGUUUUGCAGGUUGGUUUUUCUAGUAUUUGAAUGAAAUGAACUCGAAUAGAGUGGGAUGCCAAGUCCAAUGUAUUAGGAUUGAGACUGAUUGAUAGGAUUGUGGUUCAUAUUAUCUGAGUGCUAAUGUUUCAUAAGGUCCUAGGUAAUACAGAAUGACUUACAAGCAACAAGAAGUAGUACUCUUAUUUAAUGUUACUUCAAUUGCAGAGCUUCUAUCUAAUACUCCUAGGUUGACAACCUUUUUGAUAAAUGGUAAUUGUUGCUUUCCGUGAAACUUUAAAGUUUUCUGGCUGGAGCUCUUCUCUGAUAACCAUGAAAGAAGUGUGGAUUUUUGGUAGCUCUUAUGAAGGGUUUAAGGACAUGCAUCAUUCUCAUGGAAUAAAAUGGCAUUAGAAUUAGUUAUAGGGCUGGCUAUCAAGAAAAAAAAGGAUAAGUACUUAGAGCUUGUAUUGUAAUCCAGAAUUUCAUUGAACUUUUUGUGCUUGUCUUAUUCUUAUUUUAAUAUGAAGAUAUCAACAUAUGCAGAGGCUGAGGGUGCACUAGAUAAAGCAAGGAAACAUAAAAAGAGACAACUUGAAGAUACACUUAAUCUUGUUCUCAAGAAAAGAAAGGUAAUGUUUCCCAUGUAAAAAUUUCAGAUACAUCUAUUCAAUACUUAAGGUAUCUCCUUGUUUAGCAAGUACUUCCAUUUGAGUUAUUUGAGAUCUUAUUUGAUAUCUAAUGUAACCAAAAGAGAAAAAAUAGAGUUCAUCUCUAGUUUCUUACAACUGGGGUGGUCAUGUCUGAAUCUUUUUUAUUUCACAAGUAGCUGGAUUCAUUAUUGAUCUAAAUUUAAUAGGUGCAACUCAUUUCUGCAUGGCUAGGUUCUAAUUUUCUGACAGAAAUGUAAAUGUUGGAAUAUUACUCAGGCGAAUUUUCAGGUCGAUUUUGGAGAGAGAAUUAGAGAUCUUUAGAUGAGAAAGAGGCUGUUAACUAGCUAAGAUGCAUUAGAUCAUAUUCUUCUACAAGUCUCAAAAUUUGCAGGGGGCUGAAGAUGUGUGGCAAUUUUAUUAGACUAAUGCUGUAUCCUCCAUCACCACCAUUUUGACAGUGUUGGUUUUUCCUUACCUUCUCCCUUUAUUCUGUACAGGUUAAUGAUAAAAUUCAGUUUAACCAUUUUUAAAAACCAAAAAGGAAAAUAUGUACAAUAAUAAUCAUGGUCUGGAGUAGGUUUAGACGUCAAAUGUGCCAUUUAGCUUGUAAGGAUUGUACUGGUGAUAUUAGUACUACUUGUCUUUCCUACUAAAGCUACUUGAUAAAGUUAGCAAAGUCUCAUGGAGUCAACAAGUGUUCUGGAUUCUUCUUGAAACUCCUGAUCCCCCCCCCCCCCCCCCCCNNNNNNNNNNNNNNNNNNNNNNNNNNNNNNNNNNNNNNNNNNNNNNNNNNNNNNNNNNNNNNNNNNNNNNNNNNNNNNNNNNNNNNNNNNNNNNNNNNNNNNNNNNNNNNNNNNNNNNNNNNNNNNNNNNNNNNNNNNNNNNNNNNNNNNNNNNNNNNNNNNNNNNNNNNNNNNNNNNNNNNNNNNNNNNNNNNNNNNNNNNNNNNNNNNNNNNNNNNNNNNNNNNNNNNNNNNNNNNNNNNCCCCCCCCCCCCCCCCCCAAUUGACAACAUGGGUUGAAAGAUAAGACUUCUCUGAAAUUACCAUUUGUUCCCUGCGUCUGAAGAUUAACCAGACUCUGCCUCUCACUGAUGUCUUGUUUUAACCAAUGAAUGCAAGAGUUGAUCACAUCAUCUUAGAUAUUUAAAGGAGGUAUCUGUCAUUCACCUAUUGCUCUUCGAAUCUCUUCAUUUUCCAGAACAAGUAUUUAGAAGGGUAAGCAGGUCUUUUUUUAUUUCAAUUCUCCAAAUAUAUCCCAAUGGUACUGUGUACUAACUAGUAAAAUUUGCCAUUUCAAGAAUGUAGAUACAAUCUGGGUCAUUCUAAUGUAGAAAGGACUUCUAACUUGUGAUGAAAGAGUAAUUAUUUUCACUAGGCUUGAGUCUUUGAAUAAUUGUUAGCAGAAAAUACAUCAUGGUAGGCCUGCUGCAAGUUUGGUGAUGAUAUCUCUCAUAGUUUAGCUGGUAGACUUCAGAGUUUACUUGGACUGUACAGGAAGUUAAGUGUACUCUCAAGUUAAAUUUAUUUUGCUGCUAUCUUUGUUUCUCAUGUUGUGAUGUUUAUGUUUACUUUAUCGUGGUUGCGACUGAUGAACGCAUCUAGUGAAAUUGCAUCAGCUUCUUUUCCUUUUGAUUUUAUAUUUUGAUUGGGAUGUUUUGUUGCUCACUGGCAUUGCUUUUUUGUUAGGAAUAUGAAGUGAAAAUGAAAGAAAAAGGUGAAGAGCCAGUAAUGUUUAGGUAACAGACGGCCUCUUGUUUAUCAUUAAUGCUGUUAGAAAUGGCCCUUUCUCUUUGAUACUUUUACAUGCUUUUUUUCUUGCUUUCUCUGCAGUCACCUGGGUCCCCCUCGAAGGCGUACGGCUGCAGAAGAGGAAGAAAGGAUCAAAGACCCUAAACCUGAAGUAAGAUCUUACUUCACUCUUCUUUUUUUACCCCCUCCCCCGGGAGCUCCCACCUUUUUGCUCCCUUGGUGUCUCGAACUCACAACCUUAAGGUUGGAAGUGAGGGGUGCUUACCAUCCGAGCAACUCUCUUUUGUCUAUCGUACUUCAGUCUUAUUUUUUAUGGAAGCGGUUUUUGCUGAUCCAUGAACAACAUGGCCUAUGUGGAUGCAGGACUCCGUUUAUUAUCACCCUACACUGAAUCCUACUGGAGCUCCUCCUCCUGGAAAACCUCCCAUGUUUAAAUCAUCAAUAGGUAUCUAUAGUUCUUUUUCUCAUCUUAAUUUCAUAUUGUUCUCUCUCUCUCAACUCCCUCUCCCCAGCUCUGAUAGUUCCUGCUUCAAACUACAGGACCUAGAAUACCAUCAUCAGCUGCAUCAUCGUCAAUGUCAGAUGCAGAAGAUGGCACUUUAUCAGCUCUUCCGCCACCGCCACCUCCACCUCCAUUGCCCCCAACUGGUGAUGUAGAUUCUGUAGAUGGGUCUGCGAUUCCUGCAUCUUUACCUUUACCUCCUCCACCGCCUAUGCCCCCAAAGCCUGCAAUGACAGACAUGGGUGCUUCAUUGCCAUUACCUCCUUUGCCCCCACCGCCUCCUGGCCCCCCACCAAAGGAACUGAUCUCUGGCCAUCUUCCACUUCCUCCACCUCCUCCCCGACCUCUUCAUCAAUCUGCUCAACUUCCUCAUUCUGGCAUAGGUGGAAAUGAAAGGGAUAAAAAUCUUUCUGAAUUGGAUGAGAGGUCCGCAACAGAGCAAAAUCAGGUAUACUUCUUAUUAAUAAGAUAUUUGGGACAUUUGUAUAAAUGAUUUAUGUACGGUUUCUAGUCCUUGGCCCUAAAGUUAUUCACGAUCUUGUUAACUUUUCAGGCCUCAUCCAUGUUUCCCCCACCACCUCCUCCACCAGGGUUGCCUUUGAAGUCAGAUGGCAUGCCUGCUGACUCUGAUGCUAAAGUUUUGGAAACAAAAGAUCAUCUUAAGUUACCUCCACCACCUCCACGGCACCCUUCAGGUCUUGGACCUGCCAUGGUCCCAACUUUUCAGCCUGAUGUAUUACCUCCUGGAAUAUCUCGGUUCCCUCCACCCCCGCCUCCAACUGAUAUGCGGCCACCACCUGGAAUUGCUAUCCAGCCUGCUCCUCCUGGAAUGAUGGUCCCUCUCUUGCCAAGACCACCUUUUGGACCUCCACUAAUGAUGAGACCACCGCUUCCACCUGGUCCACCUCCUUUUCAACAGGAUGGUGCUAGACUGCUUGCUCCUCAAAAGCCAUCAUAUGUCAAAUCAGCUGCUUCAACAGUUGUUAAGAGGCCUCUAGCUCAGCAUACACCAGAACUUACAUCAAUGGUGAGUGAUCUUCCUUUAUUUUUACUACCUAAUUGUUGUCCUCCUGCACUUAUUUACAUCAACUGUUAAGUAUUCUUUAGCAUCAUUUCAAUGCAAACCUAAUAUAUUAGAUUGGAGUGUUAUCCCCAUCCAAAUUGUGGAUGAAAUCAAGGGGAUUAUGGGCAAGUUCAAAUCUUUGUCCAAAGUUUGCUAGGAGGGUUAAGCACUGUAUAGCAUGCUAGUUAUAUACUUUAAUUGUUUGGCCUAAUAUUUUUUAGAAGUUUGUACCAAAACAUCCCUGGUCAAGUUUAAAUUUCGUAGGUGCAAAUUUCUGUAACACUAGGCUCUUAUUAAUUUUUUCACCCUACAACACCUUGAAGAUAUAUUUUUUUUCACCAGCAAAAGUCAAAUCAAAAACAUCAGAAAAUAGAAAAAAAUAAAUCAAAAGAUGGAACUAUGAAGUAGAAAAUAAUACAAUUAAAAAAAAAAAGAAUCGUACAACCACAGUACAGAAAGUGACAAAAGUGAACACGAAAAGAAAACAGCCAAAAAAUGAAAAUAAAGAACUCAAGAAAGAAAAAGAUGUAAACCUAAGUGGAUUGGAUGGAGGUGUGUGUUGUCAUCAGGAGGCUAAAGAGGACACAUCAGGGUUCGAGGUGAGGAUGUAUCCACUUUAUUCAUUUAAAAUUAAAAAAUUGUUGAAG